GUGUGUGAGGGUGGAAAAAGGAGAUGUUGAUAUAUAUAUAUAUAUCAGGUCAGCCUUAGCUCGGAGCAAUAAGGAAAAUUUAGCUUAGAAUUUCUUUACUUUUUAAGACUGUCUCUUUACUGAGAAUGUAUCUCUACAUUUGUAGUUUUUGCCAGGUCUUUAAAUCUAAAUAAUGGUCAGAUAUGACAUCUGGGAGCAUCGAGAAUAACUUCAAUAAGCCUGCAGCCACAAAGCUUUAAAGCUGUAAAGAGCGAGGUGGACAGAGAUGAUGCUCAGGAUACACAUUGGCCUUGGACUGAGGUGGACAUGUUGAGACGUGGGGUUGGAUGCAGGAAAGGGCGAUAGACGAUGCUGAGGCGAACGGUGCACUCACUGUCAAGGAGAAGCAGACCUUGACCUCUGCCACAUGACCUGCAAAACAAAAGUCCUCCUUAUCCACAGCAUCAGGAGGUGUCUGCUGGGGGGAUGUGGAACGGGGUCACUCUGAGUUGAUGUUAAAAAUCUAUCUCAUCAUCUUUCACAGUGAUUCUGUAUUGAAUUUUGGGCACAGUAAACACAGACUGAGCUCUGAAGCAAACUCAACUUCCCACAUACAGUAUAUGUCACUGAGGAUAUAUACAUAAGGGCUGAAUCACAGGAAAAGCUACAUCUGGAAACUACUUUUAAACUGAUGCCAUUUUGACUACCUCAUGCGGAACAGGAAGAAAAUCCAAGCUAGUAAAUGACUGCAGUGAUUAUUAGAUGUUUUAGGUGGGGAUUUUGAUAUAUCAUAGGGUAGCACAGCACCAAGGGUUAUAAAGUUUAAUGUGCACCAUUGCAGCAUCCUGUGUAAAUUACUGUAUAAUUAAAGUAAAGUGUGAAUUAACCUCUGCAAUGUGCCCAGUGGGACUACUGAUGACUGGCAUCAUAUUGCAUAGUCAUCCAAGCCUGGCAGCCACAGAGCUUGUUACCACGGUGAGAGGUGUAUUUAAAAAUCUUGAAAGAGCAUUAAUAAGUGAGGAAGAGCACUUGUGUAAUCCGUGGCACUUUCCUGUGAUUAUGAGGAUAUUCAGAACAUUGGACAGCAAUUUGACAAUGUGAAAGUUGUCGCUCAUGGUGAUACAGAUUAUUUUUUACCCGAACCUCUCCUUGGCUUUACGAGCAUUUAAACAAGAUUUUAGGCUUUUAUGACAGACAUGCUACAAAAUAUAUAUUAUUUUUUUCUAUGCAUUCAUACACAUACAACUGCAUAAAAUCCAAAUAAUAAAAAAAUUAAAAUGUGUCAAGAGAGGUGAAGAAGCUACAGGCUUAUACAACGGACUUAAGGAGAAGAAAAAGGAGAAGAAGAAGAGAACUAUGCUAACAUUAUAAAAACAACAAAAGAUAAUGACAACAAGAAGAACAAAGAAUGAGCAGAAAAUCAAUCAGUAAAAACAUUCCAAAGCAAAACAAAGAAAAACUGAGAAAAAGAAGAAGAGAAAUUAAAUGAUCAUCAAUGUGAUGAGAAUUUCCUUUAAAAAAUGUUUAGGAAUAACAAGCUUUUGAUUAAGCUGUCCAGUCUGUAUCUUUACUGUUCUGGUUCACUCUGAGCACUCUCGUAGCGUUGGGCCGCAGAAGGAAGCUGUUUUUAGAGAAAGAGCUCUACCUACUACCUCGCUGGUGAACAUAGUGGAGCAAUUAACAUCAACAUAUUUCCCUCAGGAGUUUGUAGAGACCAAAACCAGAGCUGAAAGAGAGUGAAUAUUGGACAUUCACCAGGUGGCCACAAACAUGAAUCCAAAUAAAUGAUCAUGUUGUCUCUGUAACUGCUGGAUGUGGGAAUUAGCAACCGUUUCCCAGUGGGGGAGAGCCAACCCCAUAUUCCUCUGGGAUCCGUGCUUGCGAUCUGGCACUUGGUAGCUACGUUUUUUUUAGAGGUUGACGCCCAGAAACAUCCUGAACAGAGCGAAAUUAAAACAAGAGAAAUUAAAAGCAGAGCGCUUGGUCUGCAGAUACAGACAUUGCCACAAACUUCUAGUGGGUUAUAAGUUAUUAUUGAGAGGGAUAGUUUUAUGAGUCUGAACAUUGUUUUUUAGGAAAGUUGUACUCAUUGUGCCUUUAAGGUGAUGAUAUGUCAGUAUUGUGUUCACAACUUGUUUCCGCUGCCCCCAAGUGGCCAAAAGAAUCAGUUAUUGCAGCUUCUUGGCUUCUUUUUGCACCAAAGAUUUAGCACUCUUUAAUAUGUGUCAUGCUGGAAGGAAUGGAUUAAGUUACUAACGGUGAUCACAUUAAUAACUUGGCUGAUGUAACACCAGGAGGCAUUAUUUAUGGGACAUAUGCCUCUUGGAUACUCAAAGGAUGGGUGAAUUUAAUAUAUCCUAUCUCUCUUUCAUCACUUAGAUUUAUGGCAGCUCUGGUUUUUAUGUGGUGUUACUUUCCUGAUUAAUGAGACAGGUAAAUUUGAACUAGACUUCAAAACAGAUUGUUAUGAGGAAUGGUUAAGAAGAUUUAAAUUGAGAUAGGGAGAUCAGAAGAGUGUCUAUCUGAUCUGUUGGCUCAUCUGUUCUAUCAAAGACAGACACUGUUAACAUAUAAUACCAUGUGGCUGGUAUUUUAAGUGGAAGCCCAGAUCAUGCCAGGUGUUUUACAGCUGGGCAUUGCACGCUUAAGUGAGUCACUAUACAAACCAUCUGGCAUGUUGUCCAGGUGGUCAUGGAAGCACGUCCUAUUAAGUUAGACCAGGCCCUUGAAGGUUUAACAUACACAUAUGGAAAUCAACUGGCUGAAAAUAAUUAGUUUCAACACAUCCACUCUGUGCAUCUGUCCAUCUUUGUACAUCAUGCAUAUUUGUUCCCUGUCCCAAGUGCACCUCAGCUGUGCAUAUUUGACAUGCAUAUGUUCAUUCUGUGUAUCAUAAAUCAUUUUAAUUGAAGCUAUCUAGCAGAAUAUUGGGAGCAGGACCACACCUGAA